UACGUAGGGGGCAAGCGUUGUCCGGAUUUAUUGGGCGUAAAGAGCGUGUAGGCGGCCAGGUAGGUCAGCUGUGAAAACUCGAGGCUCAACCUCGAGACGUCGGUUGAAACCACCUGGCUAGAGUCCGGAAGAGGAGAGUGGAAUUCCUGGUGUAGCGGUGAAAUGCGUAGAUAUCAGGAGGAACACCGGUGGCGAAGGCGCACAUCUGGCCCGAUACUGACGCUGAGGCGCGAAAGCUAGGGGAGCAAACGGG
rnacentral:rRNA from 1 species